GAUAAAAUCAUUAUGUAAGUACACAUACCAUUGCAUUUCACAAUUUAAACAUUUUUUAAGGGUCAUCGACACCGCUGGGAAAUUUUUUUCCAUACAAAUCCAACCUAAUAAAUAACUCAAAGGUAUGGAUUUCUAUGACAUAGUUCAUUAAAAGUAGAAGUCACUGGGUGUUCAGGAUCAUUAAUGAUAAUCUGUUGCAUGACACCUACAUGUACAUUUGUAUUUCUUAGUAAGUAAGUGUAAAAUUUUGAUAUAUCUAAUUAUCUAAUGCAUGUAUUAUAUUUUGUAGCAAAUGGAUAUAAUACAGAAGUUUCAAAGAUCUGUUUUGAUGUAGCCUGAAGAUUUUGUAAUGAAUGAUCAAGGAUCCAAAAGUUCUUCGCGGAGUUCAAAGACAGUUGCAAUGUGGUUGCUAAUUUAGUGACAUAUUAAGAAAGAAGUUCAAACAAGCAUUGUCAUGGGAAAACAUGAAAAAGGAAGAAGUUGGAGGUGGACAAAAAUCAGGAUGAAUAUACUAGAGAAACUAUUAAAGCACAGAAGAAUGACAACAAUAUAAAUCUAAAUGUAAUCAUUCAAGGAAUUAAAUUCAUUUUUAAUCUCGAAACUGGUU